GAAGAAAUACAUUGAAGAAAACAGAUUUACACUUGUAUCGAAACACGUGUAUCGAUACGUGUUUGCGAUGCUUGAUAGUUAUUUACACGUUACAGCCACACCGUUAAAAAAUUGCUUUGAGGACGUGAAAUCCGAACAUGCACCGGGGAUUAAGCAAUCACGUUAAUUAGCGACAUCAGUGUAAAGGGAGAAUUGCAAAGUUUGUGCGACCUCUGCUCAGUAGAAAUACAGCAUAUUUCGAAAAGCUAAAGAAAGGACAGAAAAUUAGAAAGCACUGAUGGACCCUCGCAAAGUCAACAAAUCAACAACAACUAUCCGACUGAGUUCAACCAGAAUCAGCGAUACGUUCUAAAAAGACGGGCAGAGAGUUACCAAGUGAUAAGUAAGACAAUCCACACCACCCUAUGGUUUCCUAACGACUUUUUAAAUGUAUUUAAAAUGUUUAUGCAAUAUACAUCCUUAGAUGGGGAACUUUAUUACCAGUGCCGCAGAAAAAAGGAUGAGCAGCGUCAUCAUGUUGCCAAAGUUGUACUUCCUCCACAAGAAGCGAACAACAUCUUUGUCGAGUUUCAUGCCAGCGAUAUUGGGGCUCAUUGUGGUAUUGAGAAAACCUUGGAUGCAACCCUUCAAAAGGUAUUACUGGCUGACAUCCAAAAACGGAUUGGCCAAUGUGACGCUUGCCAAAAAAAAGAGGACCUCUAUAAAAGAGAAAAUUCAGUACAAACCCAUCGAGGUGACCGAGCCCUUUGGGCUUGUGGGAAUGGACCUAGUUGGCAAGCUAAAAUGCACCAACAAUGGUUACAUGUACAUUUGUGUCAUGGUGGACUACUUUACCAAGUGGAUAGAAGUCACACGCUGCAUAAUGGACUUCUUUUAAGUAUGGUGCCCCAAAACGCAUCUUGACCGACCGUGGCAAAGAAUUUGUCAACAAAAUAAACACAGGGUUGUGUGAAACUCUCGGAAUUGCCAGAAGCCUCUGUGCUCCCUACCACCCUCAAACCAAUGGCUUGGUGGAAAAGCUAAAUGGCACAAUUCAAGGAGCUUUGAAGAAAAUGGUGCAGGACCACCCAAGUGACUGGGACAAAUACAUACAGCCAACUGUAUUUGGACUCCGUACUAAAAAAACAGUUGACAACCAAAUACUCUCCUUAUUUUUUUUAUUGUAUGGAAGGGAGGCCCGUUACCCAUCCGAAAUACCAGAUAAGUGGCAGAUAUCUGAGGAACGGGUCCACAUCUAUAUGACCAAUGAGGACGUCUGCACCCACACGAACGACCUCAAAGAGGUCUACAAUAAAGUGGAGGCGAACAUUGCUGAGACGCAGGAAAAGGUGCGAAAGAGAAAACUUGCAAAGGGGGAUGAUGACAGCUUCGCAGUGGGGGACAAAGUUUUGCGAAAGAAUAUUUGGGAAGAGCAAAGAAAAGGGGGUAAACUGGAAACCGACUUGUUAGGUCCAUACAUGGUAAUCCAUAUAAAUGGAACAAGUGCUGACUUGACGACCCUACAAGGGGAAAAAUGUUUGCAAAGUGAACAUUGACCAUCUAAAGCGGUACGUGGAACCAGAAGUGCGGAUCCCUGCAAAAUGGAUUGCUGCCACAUCCACUUCUCCUCCAGCACUGCAGCCCAGCCCCGUACGGUGUUUGGGGGUUCCCCAAUCCCCGUCUGUAGCCCCAAAAUCAGACUCCUUAACAUCCAGUCUCUCAUCAUGGCUGCACCUGCCUCCCCAGAAGGAAUGCAAGGAUAGACCUCAAUACAGUUUCAAUAGAAGGACAGUUUGGUGAUGUUUUGGAACUUGAUAGGUUCAAACCCCAAAUGAGGCCUCUGUAAACAACUCUUUUCUAACCUCAGUGAUCGCUGACAUAUGGGCGGGGCAACGUCAAGGUGUGCUGUGGAGCAAAGUGGGGCCAUACAAGAUUUUUGCCACGGACCUUCAAAAUUUGGCCACUGGGAGGCAGCUGGAGAGUGAGGUACAGUAAAUGCAUGAUGUCUUUCAUUUGUUAUGGCAUAAAAAGUAACAACCCACAACUGUCAUUUAAGGUUUUAAAUGCAUCCAUGCGUACGAUUGUAAUGCAGCAACAAAAAGAAACAGAAAGCAAAAGAAAAGAAAAAACCAAAGAAUUGUUUCUCAUUGACUCGUUCCAAAUGACCACAAUGUGGCAAGGAUCAUUCAGAGGAUUGAAAAAGCUUGACCCUGUGGCCUUCGACAUCCUCAUAGGACCAGUGUGCGACAAACAGCACUGGACACUUGCGAGCUUUCAUGAGACUUCGAAAUGUCCAUAUUUCUCGGUGGACUUGUGAUAAAGUAAGCCAUCCAAAACAACAGGACUCAACAUCCUGUGUGGCACUUGUCUGCAAGUUUGCAGAGCUUAUUCUCAGCGGUGGCUUGAUAGAUUUCUCUACAGACGAGGCUUCCAUCACUCUGAGAAGUAGCAUGCAGACUGGUCACUGACUCAGAAAACCUGACGGAACUAUGUAGAGCAUGUGGGAAUGCACAGCAAAGUCUAGAGAGAAAUAAAGAUGGGCAUGAUGACUGGGUAAGAUUAAACUAACCGUUCUGUAAUCUUACAACUAGAAUAUACUAAUCUAUGGCAAUGCUUCUCAGAUCCAGUGUACAACAUGCGGGCUGCGGUUCCACUGAUCUGCAUUGGAAAGCCGCCAUUGGAGCAGGACUUCUGCUGUCCUGCACGUUACCUGUAAUGGAGGAAGUAUGUGGCUGAAGCUCUCUAACUCUAUGCUAGGUUUGUCUCUGCACUGCUGCUGACCUGUGUAGUGGGGAAAAUGAACUACACCAAUCUAUAUAAAUACAAGUCUAACAUUGCAUUACAAACAGGAAGAUGAGUCAUAUUGUAAAAUUCAUUUGACAUUAAAAUAAUUUUAAUGCCACUGUCUGCUCGCCACCUAUUGCAUGCCAACCAUCCUACUUCACAAGAGUCUUUGUGCUUUUUCUCUUCACAGGUUCUCGUGGUUCUAUCUGGACCCUGGUCUUGGGUUCUUCGCUGGUUCUGCCAUUUCAAUUGAAUGUUUUGUAGCUCUUGUAAUUAUUCUGUACACAAGACAUCUAUUGCACUUCUGUCCAUCUUGGGAGAGGGAUCCCUCCUCGUUCGCUCGCCCACAGGUUUCUUCCUCUUUUCUCCCUGUUAAAAGGGUUAUGGGGGAGUUUUUCCUGUUUCGAUGUUCGGGUCCUGGGACAGAGGAUGUCGUGUAUAUGUACAGAUUGUAAAGCUCUCUUGCUAAUAUUUGAUUUGGGGCCGGACAAAAUAAAUGUAAUUGAAUUACAA